UCUCAAAGUGCUGGGAUUACAGGCGUGAGC
rnacentral:piRNA from 1 species